UGGGUUGGAAACCGGGGCUUCUGCCUUGGAUUGUGGCCUUUAGACAUACUACCAACGGCGGCGCGAGCGUAAGCCUCUUGGAACAGAGCGUCUACGUGGGUGAGAAUCCUGUGUUUCGCUUGAUGCCCGCCGUGCACGGUACUUGCUCUCAGAGUCACGCUCCUCGGAAUUGGAGCGUAAAUUGGGUGGUAAAUUUCAUCUAAAGCUAAAUACAGGCUCGAGACCGAUAGCAAACAAGUACCAUGAGGGAAAGAUGAAAAGGACUUUGAAAAGAGAGUUAAAAGUGCUUGAAAUCGCUGAACUGGAAGCGAAUGGAACUAGUGCUCUGGUUGAGAUUGCUGCAAGUGGCUGCGACAUUUGGGCUCUGGAACGCAAGUCCUUUGUCUGGAUUGAAGUAAUUGCUUGCAAUGUGUCUCAGCUUGAACAUCAACUUCUAUGCAUGCCUGAGGAUGGCCCUUGGCUCAUGCUGUUUUGCUGCGGUGAUACUCUUGUGCCUCUGGGGAUUCAGGUGUGUGUGGAUGGUUGGUCAAUUAGUUCCAUUCGACCCGUCUUGAAACACG
rnacentral:rRNA from 1 species